rfam:Asian citrus Psyllid, Diaphorina citri - Florida Strain, whole genome shotgun sequence.
AAAAUGGCCUUUAUAAAGGCCCUUCAAAUUUAAUUAAAAACGGAC